UACGAAGGGGGCUAGCGUUGCUCGGAAUUACUGGGCGUAAAGCGCACGUAGGCGGAUUGUUAAGUCAGGGGUGAAAUCCCGGAGCUAAACUCCGGAACUGCCUUUGAAACUGGCAAUCUUGAGUCCGGGAGAGGUGAGUGGAACUGCGAGUGUAGAGGUGAAAUUCGUAGAUAUUCGCAAGAACACCAGUGGCGAAGGCGGCUCACUGGACCGGUACUGACGCUGAGGUGCGAAAGCGUGGGGAGCAAACAGG
rnacentral:rRNA from 1 species